ACGCACGCUGGCGGCAUGCCUCACACAUGCAAGUCGAACGAGACCUUCGGGUCUAGUGGCGCACGGGUGCGUAACGCGUGGGAACCUGCCCUUAGGUUCGGAAUAACUCCCCGAAAGGGGUGCUAAUACCGGAUAAUGUCUUCGGACCAAAGAUUUAUCGCCUUUGGAUGGGCCCGCGUUGGAUUAGCUAGUUGGUAGGGUAAAAGCCUACCAAGGCGACGAUCCAUAGCUGGUCUGAGAGGAUGAUCAGCCACACUGGGACUGAGACACGGCCCAGACUCCUACGGGAGGCAGCAGUGGGGAAUAUUGGACAAUGGGCGAAAGCCUGAUCCAGCAAUGCCGCGUGAGUGAUGAAGGCCUUAGGGUUGUAAAGCUCUUUUACCCGGGAUGAUAAUGACAGUACCGGGAGAAUAAGCUCCGGCUAACUCCGUG
rnacentral:rRNA from 1 species